rnacentral:rRNA from 1 species
CCUACGGGUGGCAGCAGUGGGGAAUAUUGGGCAAUGGGCGCAAGCCUGACCCAGCAACGCCGCGUGAAGGAAGAAUGCUUUCGGGUUGUAAACUUCUUUUAAGAGGGAAGAGCAGAAGACGGUACCUCUUGAAUAAGCCACGUCUAACUACGUGCCAGCAGCCGCGGUAAUACGUAGGUGGCAAGCGUGGUCCGGAUUUACUGCGUGUAAAGGGCGUGUAGCCGGGCUGACAAGUCAGAUGUGAAAUUCCGGGGCUCAACCCCGGAACUGCAUUUGAAACUGUUGGUCUAGAGUAGGGGAGAGGCAGGGGGAAUUCCUAGUGUAGCGGUGAAAUGCGUAGAUAUUAGGAGGAACACCAGUGGCGAAGGCGGUCUGCUGGACCGCAACUGACGGUGAGGCGCGAAAGCGUGGGGAGCAAACAGGAUUAGAUACCCCAGUAGUC